AUACGGAGGGUGCAAGCGUUAUUCGGAAUCACUGGGCGUAAAGGACGCGUAGGCGGGUUGGCAAGUCAGAUGUGAAAUCCUACAGCUUAACUGUAGAACUGCAUUUGAAACUGCUAACCUAGAGUAUGUGAGGGGGAGAUGGAAUUAGUGGUGUAGGGGUAAAAUCCGUAGAUAUCACUAGGAAUACCGAAAGCGAUGGCGAUCUCCUGGAACAUAACUGACGCUAAGGCGUGAAAGCGUGGGGAGCAAACAGGAUUAGAAACCCCUGUAGUCC
rnacentral:rRNA from 1 species